GAUGAUAGCUUGAGGAACACUUGAUAUUUCUCUCCUAUUCUCUCCUUUUCUAGACAAAAGCUACAGGCAUUAUCGAGCUCUACACAGAUACGGAGCCUUCAGCAGUUAAAUGUUUCUUUUCUAACACUUUGGGCUCUGAAAGGCGAGACUUCAGGCUGUUGGUGGGUCCUGGUCCUUCAGGUGUUUCACAACCCAUAUCUUGGCUUCCCUGCAAGGUUGAGAAAGUGAAAACGGGUGUUUAUAAGGCAGAAGAGGAAAAGCCACAAUCAGGAUGGAAGGCUUUCUUUAUUGAGGCCACCUUCCCAGGA